rnacentral:lncRNA from 14 species
AUGUUUAAAGCACUUCUUGUUUUUUCUUGGUUGGUCUCUCUUUUUUACGUUAGGUUGAGAAGAGUAAUCUUGGGUAUGUCAGUGUCUAUCACAGCUAGAAUAUCUGCUAGGAAGCAGAAGUGCAGUUCCCUCCGAGGCAGAUCAACCGCUGAAUUUAACAUCCUUCUAGGUUGCUGGCAUUGUCAAGAAAGCAGUUCAGCUAAACAAAAGGAAAUCAGAAGAUACAGUUACAAACUGUGAACCAAUGACUAUGAACCAGUGAGAACAUGUGAGGAAGAUCUGUGAAAAUGAUGUUUGACUGUGACAACACAGACCAGACAGCUUUUAUUUUGACCAACAGACUGUUGGGAACACAAACUGUAGGUCAAAGUGAAGGACUUGAAACAUGCUCCAGUCUGUACAGAUGUUCUCACUCAGAAAGCAGCUAGAUGGACCAGAAGAUAAACGAAGGCUGUCCAACUUUGAAAAAGGUUUGGAUUUUCAUUCUGUCUUGAUAAGUAAAUCCAGUUUUUCUGGCAGUCUGAUUUUCAGCCUGAUAGAAAAAUUCAACAUCUACAGACAUGACCUAAAAUGACAGAUACCUGAAAAUGUACAAGCAAGACCUCAGAAAGGCGCUAUACAAUAUCAUAAAAAUAUUUUUUGUUUUAAUCUUAAAUGCUUUUGUGUCAAAGGCAGGGAGCAAAGACCAGAAAUUGGAAAUGUUAGUAUUCUAACUCUGGAGCAGGUCAUACAUGCUUGCAGGCAGCAUGCAAUACUUGGAAUGCAAGGCUAAGAUCUGAAAGGUGAUUCAGGAAUCUCUUCUGUAGAAUUUUUUUUUAUUAUUAUAGAAAGCAAGACAGGAUUACUGAGCUCAGGAGGGUUAUUUGUGAAUAACUUCCAGCUAAAGUGAUUAAGGGCUCCAGCCACUAGCCAAAAAAAAAAAAAACAAAACAUCAAAAACAUCCUGCUUGUCAUUGCUGCUGGCUUUUUGUUCAAUGAGGUGAGCAUUUGUCUUGUGUUGGUUUUGGUCCUCUGCCCUUGGCGAUACUUUUAACAAUGAAUAAUACUUGAAAGAAUUCCAAAAUGUGUGGGCUUUUUCUUUUUCCCUUUGAACUUUGAGCUUAAAGAUAAAUAAAGGAGUAUUUUGGUAUGUCUAGAAAAUAUUU